GUGAAAGCCUGGCGCCAGCUUGUCUGUGAGAACCUCUGGCUCAUCCAGCUGUCUGCAUCCUCUUCAAACAGAGAUGAGUGUCAGAACAACUGGAUCCAGAGUGGCGCGUUUAUGUGGAAAACUGCAGCGAACAGUGGAAACAGAGGUGUGACGUCACUGCGGUUCAAAUGGCCCUGCAUUAACACAUGCUGAUGUCCCGCGGAGCCUCUGGCGCCACCGUCUCAGCGUUUGGUGACAUUGGCAAACAUCACGGAUCAAAGGGAUUACAGUAGCAACACAAUUAACUUUGAUUGACCAGCAGUUCAAAUGCAAAUUCACACCCGGACAAGCUUAAGGCCUGAUCCACUGACUCAACUCAACAACUCAGGCACACUGAAAAUAUACUUGCACCAAUAACCUACAACUGGGCAACACUUGCACUGAUUUCUUUAUAAUGGACUAAAUUUGAAUUAUGCAUAUGCAUAAAUGUGCACGUAGGCCUGUGCAUAUUUAAUGCUGCAACAAUGUAAAUCUUAAGUUUACCACGCAAUACGGCAAUCCGAGUAUCUAUAUAUCCAGCAACUCAAUUCAAAAGUCUUCAUAGAGGCCUAAUUAUGUUUAUUUGAGGUUUCAUGAUCAAACAAAACAGCACAGAUUGUGAUUCAAUAAUAUUCGCGAUAAUCAGAAAUAAUGGCAUGUGAAGCAGCUUUGCAACAGAGGUCUGCAGUUAAUCAGGGCUUUGGCGUUAUCUGACUGUAUUUGAAUGUCUGUGAAUGAGAGACGGAGCCUUUGAAAGGAUCGUUUAGCUGGACAAUGACGAUAACGGCAUGUUGACUGUUUCCUUUAUCAAUGAUCUAUAGUGCAGGAGGCUCGAGCUCUUUGACUCGCAAUUAAAGCCUUUAUCUGAAGCGCUUUGAUCCGUCACAGAACAAUGAGGAGGAUCCGCCGCGCGCCACUGCGCCUCCGGGGGCGCGCGUUUCCUCGCCUCCGCGUGAAACUCCGAAACAAACCGCAGAGCUCGAACGCUCAUUAUUUAAUUCGGAUAAGAUAUCAUGGCUUCCAAGAAACGAGCAGAUCUGUGAAGGUCUGAAAACAAUUAAUCUCGUUUAAUGGUCAGACAGUCUCACAUCAGAGGCUCAAAAACAAAAACAUUUUCAGCAAAAAAAUAAUAAAAAAUCACGCGAACAGUGUUACUGAAUAAAAUAUGAAGGAUUGUGAGUGUGAUGAUGCUUUUUGCAUAAACAAGAAGGUCAUAUCCAGUAACUGAGAUUUCAACUGAGAGCUAUUUUGUUUACAGUUUAGUAAUACACAGGGUGAAUUGCCGUAAAGUGGGACAUAUGUAAAUACAUACCGGUGAAACUAUAUGGGUUAGACAAAGCUGAGGUGCCAUGUGAUCAAAAUCACAUAACCUCUCAAAUGUCAGGUCAUAUAUGAAGGUGGAGCAAAUCAUCAAACGGGGAGCACCUCGAAAUCCACCCAAAGCUCAAUGUUAAGGAGUAUAAGUUCAUUUUAAACAAAACAGUCCUGGUACUUUUUGAUCCAAUGUGCUUAUGAAAUGUUUGCCCAUCAAAAAUAUUAUAACUUUGUAUGUAUAAACUAUAUAUUUUAUAUUUUUUUAUAUUUUUUUAUAUUUUUUUUCCCAGUGACCCACUUUAGGAAAUGUGGUUUCAAAAAGUGGGACGGUACUUCAGUCAGUGAAAAUGUGUGGUGGGGCAUGGUUUGUGGGACAAAAAUGGUUAUUUACAGGGUUUUAGUGAUGUUAUGCAAUAAUAGAAUGAUUAAACGUAUUUAACUGCAGUUCACAGCACGUUCAUGAAUUGUGACUCAUGAAGGUUGAAUCUAGCCUAAAGUUUGUUCAAGCCGUUUUUUUUUCUUUGCAAGUUUUUUAAUUUUGCUUUUUAAUUAGGCCUAGGCUAUGUUUGUUUUGGUUGUAUGUGUUUGUUGUUAAGUAAAAUGAACUAGAGACAAUGUUAUGUUAUUUGGGUCAUUGAUGUAUAAGGUUUUUAACAGUGUAAAAAAACAUAAUGGAGAUAUAAUAAAUUUUGAAGUUUUA